rnacentral:tRNA from 1 species
AGACGCUUAGCUCAGUGGUAGAGUAGUGCUUUUACAAGGCAUUGGUCGUGAGUUCAAAUCUCUCAGCGUCUA